GGAGUUUUCGGACACAUUUUCCAGCCCGGACUACUGCUGUUCCUGUCCAUAGCCAAGAUCCAGGCAUCAGUGAUUUAGGACGGAGUUGUUUUCAUGGAGAAAGAAAUAGAAGCUGUUUGUGGCAGGGCACGACUGCUGCCGGGCAGAUAUUCCCACCAUGUGGGUAUCCGGGUAGAGGGGUGAGCCUGCCAUGAAGAGGCUUGGACCCAGCUCCGGGGAGGCCUGAGAUAAAGAGAAGGCAUCAAACCCAAUAUGAGGAUAUCAAAGAAGACUGCCUGGAAGAGGUGCUGUUUCAGCUAAUGACAGAUGUAGUCCUUGCACAAUCUUGAACUCCUCUGCUUGGAUAUUUAUCAAUCUAGAAGUUUAAUAUACUAUACCCUGAACAAGUGUGCUCAUUUUAGAAAACUGUAAAGAAGAAAACAGAAAACAGCUGUAAUCCCAUCUUUCCAUUGAUUUCAUUCUAGAUUACUUUUAUCUCUAUUUUUAACUGCAUUAAUUGAUAACCUGUAUAUACAGUGUGAGUCUGGCUAGAAAAAUGUUUAUUUCUGACCGGGCAAGGU